rnacentral:rRNA from 1 species
GCGGUCAGCACGACGCAGCUUGUCGGGGCCGCGGUGGGGAUCAUAGGCAAGAUCAAGCGGGUGGUGGAGACGGCGCGCCAGAACAAGGUGGAGUACGACCACCUCAGGGACCGCCUGCCCACGAUCGGCCACGUGCUGCAUGGCCUGCCGCCGGACCCGGAGUUGGAGCGGCCGCUGGCCGAGCUGAUCGACAUGCUGCAACAGGCAUACGACCUCAUCGUCGCUUUCCAGAAGCGGAGCACCGCCAAGCAAUUCUUCCGGGCAAGCAUCCACGCCGAUAGGUUAAGGUCAGUCAACGCCAGGAUCGACUCCCACCUCAGCCUCUUCCCCUUGAUCAGCUACGCCGCCAUCGCCCGCCGCCUCAAUGAACCAGGCUGCUCCUGUCCCGGAUCCCCGGCUCCGCGGAAGGUGGAGCAGGAGGACGUGUUCGUGGCGGAGCUCCUCGAGAUAUUUCCUGCCAUCCACACCGGCGAGGUGCCGAUCUGCUCCUCUGCUGGCUCCCAGCCGAACGUAGAGGACGCGUUUGCAGCGCAGUGCAAGAUCCUAGGAAUCUUUCCUCCCGAAGACACCGGCGAGGUGCCGGGCUGCUACUCGGCUGCCUCCCUCCACGACGUGGAGGAGGCGUUCAUGGAGGAGCACAAGAUCCUCGAAAUGUUUUCUCCGGAGCACACUAGCGACGGCGAGAUGCCGGGCUGCUCCUCUGCCGGUUCCCUGCAAGACGUGGACGACGCGUUCGUGGCAGAGCGUAAGAUCCUCGUCUACGAGCAGGGGCAUAUGAGCAACACCACGCUGAGAGACCACCUGGUGCACGGUGUCUCCAGCUCGUCGCCGGUGACGGUGUCUUGGAGGACCCGCGUGGAGGUGCUGCUGGGCGUAUCCCGGGCCAUAGAGCACUUGCACCGCUGCGCGAUCAUCCACGGCAACGUGAGCUCGUCCAACAUCCACCUCGACACCAACUGUUACUCGAUGCCGCGCCUAUCUGGCUUCGUCAGCGUACAGGUCUUGCAGGCGGACCAGCUCGUUGCGGAGGUCGUCGGCACUCCCGGGUACAUCGACCCGGAGUACCGGUGCACGGGGCGCAUGAACCUGGCCAGCGACGUGUACAGCUUCGGUGUUGUCAUUUUGGAGGCGCUGACCGGGAGGCCGCCGGUCAGCAGCGGCCGGGUGAAGGGCGAGGACGUCGUGACCCUGGUGGACUCCACGCUCCCGGUCAUUCGAGACGGUAAUCUGCACGAUAUGCUAGACGGCCGCCCGGUGUUGCAGUUGCAGCCCAUGCUGCGACAGUUGGAGGCGCUCGAGCUCGUGACACACACGGCGAGGCUCUGCCUGUGGCCGCACGGCAAGGACCGGCCAGCCAUGUCAAACGUGGUGGCCAACCUGGAGAAGGCACUCGGGAUCAUACGCAAUAAUGAGCCU